rnacentral:misc_RNA from 1 species
CGGCGUCUAUCGAGCGAUGCAGCCCAAAGCCCGCACCCGAGGAGGCUCGGGCUCCACAGCCGUGCGUGGCCGCUGCCAUCACUCCGUUAUCUGCAGCGAGAGCACCACAAUCAUAUUGUUUACAAUGGAGAUAUACCUUAAUGACAUUAUAUCUAGGCUCACAGAAAAGAAGUUUUACUGGAACGAGAGAAGUCGGUCGCUAGGGGGAGAGGGUGAUCGAGGGUGACCGAGGAGGCAUCGGCGGCGCCCGGACGCCUCGCGGCCGUGAACCGAAACUUCGGAAACUUCUGCCGUAUUGUGUUUACAUUGAACUUUGUUAUGUGGGUUAAAGUUAAGCCAGAGUUCAACGUAUGUGGCGCUCGUUUUACUCGAUUGCAAAGUUAACUCUCAAGUUUAUGGCAUCGAUUUUCAUCUUAUGUUUAUCAGAUGUUUCAAGGUUGUCGCUAUCGAUUAUGGAGUUUCAUGUGUUUUAUCUUCUCAUAUGUAGAAUUACAUUGUGUGCCACUGGUAUCAAUCUAAGCAGGCAUCGUGGCACUGAUAGGUACGGCCAUGUCGUAUCAUACAGGCUCAAGGCAAGUUUUUUAGGUCAUAGUAUAACGUACACAGUGUAUUUCAUGACACGUAUCUUCAAAUAGAGUGUUCUUUUGUUUUCCAGCUAUUAUUCCUUUUAUUUUAUUAUAAUAUAUAUAAAUAUAUUAAUAUUCCCCAUGUUAUUUAUUUACGUGGUCAAGAAAUAUUCGAGCUGAAACUCUUAAUGUAAGUUGAUCGAUACAUCAUCCAUAUACAAAUAGAUCAGAGCAGCACAAAGCUUACAAUACGUAUAUUUUGGGCUUUAAUAUCAUAUUCCCUUUGCUCUCCAACCUGUAGUCUGUAGUUACAAGCUGACUAUAUUGGUUAAAAUACUUAUAGCUAGUGCAAUCAAAAUCAAAUCCAAAAUGAUUUAGAUUAAACGAGUCGCAGAAGUCAACGGAUGUUGCUAGGUAUUAUUGCUGACUUACUUACUCCUAACAAUGGAUAUGGAUUAGGAUUUUAGAGAUUUACGUAAGCGAACAUUGUACUGAAUACAUUUCCAAACAUAGCAGGAGGAGUACUACCGAAGUAUCGUUGAAGACAACAAAAAGGAUAAUAGUAAUAUCCACUUUAUUUAAGUACUCAUUCUCCAUAAAUUCAUAAAGUUAUGCCUUUUCUCAUAGAAGGAAGCAGAGAGCAAGAGUAAUUACUACGAUCCUUACAUACCUACUUAAAUUUUUUAAUGCAAGAUGUACUCUUGAUGCGAUCUUUAAGCUCGAACGAACCCGGUAUAGUCUUUCGAUUCCGACGUUUCCAUUUAAUGCUAUGUGGUUUUCGGUUGUUUAGAUUAUGACUACUCCAUUUCUUUCUCAUGGAGUGAUCCUAAUCUAAUCUUUUAUAAAUUAUAAAAGGUGAGUAAAGACAUAAACAUAAUCUUAAUUUGCAAGCUUUAUCAGUGAAGAAAAGAAUUAUAAUAACUGCUUGUCUUUCUGUGUAGAUUGUAAGAGUCCAUCAAGAGAAUGGUUAAGAAACUUUUUCAUAUUUUAAGCUAAAAGUUAGUCUCUCCCUGAAUCUCCGUAUAAUUCAUAUUACUUAGAUCAAAUUGCCUGAGUAUAAAAAAAUGCUCAUCAUGAUUUUUAGCAAUCAAAGUAAUGUAAUUAACUUAGAAAGAGGUAAUGCACAUGGCCGCAGUAGUAUUUGUAAAACACUGACACGAUUUUUUUCAUUUUGCAGUCUCUACUUAUUGAUAGAAUUAUCUCUAGUAAUACUUUCAUAUUUGUUGACUUCAGUAUUUAGACUGUUUGCAUGAUACUUUACAUUUUACGAAAUAAUUUUAUAAAAUUAUGUUUCAUGAUACACUGAAAGAAAUAAGAAGAAAGGUAGAAAAAUGUAUACGUUUUUUUUCUUUCAAUAUUUUGUCAGUCUGAUGAAAGGUCAAGUAAAUUAUUUCUUUGACUUAAAACCGCCGAGCCAGCAUGAAAAGAUUUAUGAAUUUGGAAUAGCAUGUGAAUAUUGUACGAGUAUCUAGUCUCUGCUCUCACAUUUGUUAUAAUAUGUUUGUAAUAACAGAAUAAGUUCACUGACUUUACAGCAAACUUCAAUUUUCCGAAAUUGGAUCGUGCGUAGGUACCCCUAUCACUGAUAGCGGCCACACCUGAACCCAUUUCUGAUAUCUGCUGGUUCCUGAUAAUUUUUCACAUGAAAUUGCGAUAACACGUUGAACCUGUUAACGUAAACCUAAAACAAAAUAACUUACUUUUUAAUACUAUUUUAAAAGCUUUUUCCGGAGAAAUUACGCACGUGGGAAUUUUAUUUAGCGCUGUAAAUGCAAAUACAAGAAAAAGACAUGUAAAGACAAGAAUCGUCUCGCGUUUAAGUAGAUGCGUAUGUUUUUUAUACCUAUAGUACUUAUAUAAAUAAUAAUUAAAUCUGUAUCCCUUGCGACGUAGAAAUAAAAUAAGAUUCAAAUAGUGACAGGUCGCCUAUGCAUAAUUCAAGCCAAAUUUAGUGACCUUGUAAGAAGUAGCUAGUAGUUUCGGCUUUAUUAUUUCUAUUAUAUAUUAUGCUUCUAUUUUUUUAUAUAUUUUAAUUUAUUAUUGAAAAUCCGUUUAGAAAUGUUUAAUGGAAGAGUAACAAACACACACACAUACGUACGUAUGUGUGUCAUACACCCUUACCAACUUUCAUCAUAUUGCUGACUCUCAAUGUAUUAUUCAUUAGAAUACUUAUUAUUAACUAAUAAAUUCAAAUUAGAAUUGAAGUAAACUUUCGGACUCGCUAGGAAUUUUGGAAUAUUUUGUCAUAGUGUUUUCGUACAUUUUUCUUCAGACAACAGACAAAAUAAAUUAAGUUUCUCCUUGCGUACAGAGUUUUGACUGUACAUUGUCUUUCAACUAGUCACUAACGCAACGUAACGCAAGAAUAUCAUUUCAUGAAUUGAUUAGAAUCAUCAAUGAUAAAAAUAUAUACACACAUGAAAUCACACCUUUGUCCCGGAGGGGUAGGCAGAGAUAUCUUUCUAAUUGCUACGAUCUCUGCAUUAUUCCAUCUCUUUUUCCAAAUUCUUCUCUCUUUUUCAUAAGUCUUUUCAUGCAAGCUCGGUUGCGUAAACUCUUGACCUGACCUUUUGUCAGAUUAUUUACUUUAUAGGUACGGACGUCGGAUUAGUAUUACAAUUUAAGAAACUGUUUGUUUUUACUUUAAAUAAUUACUUAAGUGAUAUAAUUGUGUGAUGCUAAUAAACUUUUAUUCAUUCAUUCAUUCUAAAUUUAGAAAAUCAGGAUAUUUCAUGUUAUUUACAUAUAUAAUAGAGGACACCUACUGACUGAUGACUGACUUAUCAAUGCACAGUCCAAAAAAACUGAUGGGUUAAGAGAAAUUUGAAAGUUAUCUAGUUAGGUGUAGGAUGUUUAGUAGUCGAGCUAUUUCCAAGAAUUCCCGUGAGAAGGGAAGUUAGGAGGAUUUUAAUGUGUAUGCGGGUAGAGCCACAGGACGUAGGCACUCUAGCGUUUUACAUACUUACUAUUACUUUUAUAACUGUACUUAGUAGGAAUAGAAAUUUUUGGAAGGUUAAUUUUCUUUAAUACAUAAAAUGAUGCCACAUAAUUAUUUGUGCAGUUUUAUUAGAUUGAAAAGAAAUGUGUUCGCGUCAUUGUUACAAUAGUACACACUUUAUCUCGUUUUUUAGACUUUAUUUGUUGAAGGCGCACGAUAAUGAUAAAGAUAAGUACAAGUUGACAGUUUUAUCGAACACCUACGCCUGAAAAGAACUUUGCUUCAGGAAGUAAUACCAUUUUGAUUCGGUAUAUAUAUGAAAAGGCAACACCGAGACGAAGAAGGUCAAAUAUUUGACAAAUGGCCGAAUCAUCUGUCACUUCCUCAGAUUGGAAUAAACAUCGUAGGGUUUACAAUUUAAUCUCAUAAAUAAUGGAUGAUACUUGUCGCCUGUGUUGUUCGACAAAGUUUGUGAAUAACAAUAUAUUUGACGAGGAAACCGCAUUAUAUUUAAAAAUGGCACUAUACCUUCCUAUAAAGGUGUUCAAGAAUGACCGGCUACCUCAGAAGAUAUGCGACAAGUGUAGCUGCAAGGUUAACGAUAUUUAUCAGUUUUGUAAUGAAACAAUUGAAGUUCAAAAAAGGUUACAAUCUAUGCUAUCAGUAGAUUAUGAGGUAAAAGAAUCUGUUGACAUAACUCUAGCAACAUCUGUAAGCGGAGUUAGAAAUUGUGAUCAAGGCACUCAGACAGACAGUGAGCCGUCCAGUUUGUCUGUUUCUGUCAAAGUCAAACAGGAGCCGUUUCCAGAUUCACCGGAGCCUGUGAAACAAGAGCUUGCUGUAGAAUCAGAUAACAAUAAGGAUUUUAGCACAUUAAAUGAUAAUGUCAAUGAUGACUUCAAUGACCACGCCGAUAUCCCAUCAGAUAAUAGUGAUAAUAUAUCUCUGCUUAAUCUCAAGAAGAAGAAAAAGAGUAAGAGAGAAGUGAACGGGCAAGUAGAGAAGCGGGGCCGUAAAAAGAAGCCUAAGUUGAAUGACUGGAAUGUACUUAUAAGUGAAUUGCCAGAGGGCGCUGAAUUUGGUGUGGAAAAUAAUAAAGUUUCAGGUAAAGACAUAGAAGUGAAGCGUGAGCAUCUAGAAGAUUUGCUGGAGCCUCCGGAGGUGAAGAAGGAGCCGGAGGACGUGUUCCAGUGCUGCAUCUGUUUCCUGCAACUGUGCAGCCGCUCCGACAUGCUGCAGCACUAUAAACAACACGCGGUAAGCGCGGACGCGAGCGCCGCGCCGCCGCCCGCGCCGCCCGCGCAAGGGCCGCUGCGCUGCGUGCGCUGCGGGAAGGUGCUGCAGAGCGGCGAGUGGGCGGCGCACUGGGCGCGCCACUGGGAGCGCGACCGGCGCCCGCUGCGCUGCGCGCUGUGCGAGAAGACGUUCCGCGACGCGCACCAGAUCCUCAAGCACGGUUUAACGCACAAAGUGGGCGAGGAAGGCGCGGAGCCGGCGCCGCUCUCCAAGCGGUUCAUCUGCGACCUGUGUCCGGAAGGGUUCGUGUAUAUGAGACACCUGCUGUCGCACCGGCUGCGCAGCCACCCCGAGGCGGCGGCGCGCGCGCUGGCGCUGCGCUGCGCCGAGUGCGGCCGCACGUUCGCGCACCUCAACUCGCUGCGCCGCCACCUGCGCGCGCACUCCGGGGAGCGCAACUUCCUCUGCAACGUGUGCGGGAAGGCGCUCUCCUCCAGGGAGCACCUGAAGUUCCACAUCAGGAUACACACGGGGUACAAGCCCAACGUUUGCAAGACAUGCGGUAAAGGUUUCGUGAAGAAAUGCAACUUGACUCUACACGAGCGAGUGCACUCCGGGGAGAAGCCGCACGUGUGCUCGCACUGCGGCAAGGCGUUCAGCCAGAGGUCCACGCUCGUCAUACACGAACGUUACCACAGCGGGGCGCGGCCCUACGUGUGUGCUCUGUGCGGGCGCGGGUUCGUGGCCAAGGGACUGCUCUCCAUGCAUCUCAAGAGCACGUGCAUCUAGCGGCACACGGCACUGUGUGACGCAGGAACAGUGAGUAGUGGGACUGCUCUCCAUGCAUCUCAAGAGCACGUGCAUCUAGCGGCACACGGCACUGUGUGACGCAGGAACAGUGAGUAGUGGGACUGCUCUCCAUGCAUCUCAAGAGCACGUGCAUCUAGCGGCACACGGCACUGUGUGACGCAGGAACAGUGAGUAGUGGGACUGCUCUCCAUGCAUCUCAAGAGCACGUGCAUCUAGCGGCACACGGCACUGUGUGACGCAGGAACAGUGAGUAGUGGGACUGCUCUCCAUGCAUCUCAAGAGCACGUGCAUCUAGCGGCACACGGCACUGUGUGACGCAGGAACAGUGAGUAGUGGGACUGCUCUCCAUGCAUCUCAAGAGCACGUGCAUCUAGCGGCACACGGCACUGUGUGACGCAGGAACAGUGAGUAGUGGGACUGCUCUCCAUGCAUCUCAAGAGCACGUGCAUCUAGCGGCACACGGCACUGUGUGACGCAGGAACAGUGAGUAGUGGGACUGCUCUCCAUGCAUCUCAAGAGCACGUGCAUCUAGCGGCACACGGCACUGUGUGACGCAGGAACAGUGAGUAGUGGGACUGCUCUCCAUGCAUCUCAAGAGCACGUGCAUCUAGCGGCACACGGCACUGUGUGACGCAGGAACAGUGAGUAGUGGGACUGCUCUCCAUGCAUCUCAAGAGCACGUGCAUCUAGCGGCACACGGCACUGUGUGACGCAGGAACAGUGAGUAGUGGGACUGCUCUCCAUGCAUCUCAAGAGCACGUGCAUCUAGCGGCACACGGCACUGUGUGACGCAGGAACAGUGAGUAGUGGGACUGCUCUCCAUGCAUCUCAAGAGCACGUGCAUCUAGCGGCACACGGCACUGUGUGACGCAGGAACAGUGAGUAGUGGGACUGCUCUCCAUGCAUCUCAAGAGCACGUGCAUCUAGCGGCACACGGCACUGUGUGACGCAGGAACAGUGAGUAGUGGGACUGCUCUCCAUGCAUCUCAAGAGCACGUGCAUCUAGCGGCACACGGCACUGUGUGACGCAGGAACAGUGAGUAGUGGGACUGCUCUCCAUGCAUCUCAAGAGCACGUGCAUCUAGCGGCACACGGCACUGUGUGACGCAGGAACAGUGAGUAGUGGGACUGCUCUCCAUGCAUCUCAAGAGCACGUGCAUCUAGCGGCACACGGCACUGUGUGACGCAGGAACAAAUGGACCCCAAAUCAAUUAGACUGAACUUCGAUGUGAUUCAUGUAAAUAUAUAUAUUGUAAGAUACAGGAUACUUCGUGUAAAAACCUGAUUCACCCAAUCCAUUGUCCAUGGUCAAGGACGUAUCCCGGGCUCUUCUCCAGAAUAGUAAUACCUACAUAUAGUAACGUCUAUUUCCCUUGCGGGAUAUAUACCAAUAGCCUUAAAUGGCAAAACAUAGUGAAGAAAUCUGCACAUUUAGACAACUGAAUGUGCAGCCGCGAUCCUACGAUAUCACAACUACGUUGUUAAAAUCUAAUGUUUACAUUGUUAAACCAAUAAGUAACCAUAACAUAAGGAUGCCCUGAUGUCAAAGAAUGUAAUUUCACUUUUGUGAUACAAUUAAACUAAUAUUUGAUACUAAAAAGAAGAAAUUUUGCCUCAUACAGCAACUGACACUUUUUAGUCUCUUAAAUAUGUUGAUUUCAUCGCACAAAGUAAUUGUAAGAUGUAUAAUUAUUGUCUGCCCUAGCGACGUAAAUACGCAACAUGUUCCUCGUAAAUAAGCUUAAGUAUCUUUAUAGAAAUGUACUUUUUCACAAUUAACUUUAUUAAAUCAAAUAAUUUAUUUGUAAAAACUUAAGUGUUUCUUAGAAGUAUGCAUCUGCUUUCAAAACGAAGAUUAUUUACCUCAAGACGGUGUCAAACCGUGUCCACAGAUUUAUUUAUAGUACUAGCUUAUAGAACUGACACCCAACUUCCACUUGAUCAAAUACGUCACCCCACACCCUACUGGGUGGUAAGGCACAGGUACAAAAUGAGCAAAUGUGUAAAAAGCAGCUUUUGGAUAUCGCAAACAGAUUUGCAAACAGAAUUUCUUUUCAAGUUUGAUAACCAAUGAUGACAUACAUACAUAAAAUCACGCCUCUUUCCCGGAGGGGUAGGCAGAGACUACCUCUUUCCACGUGCCACGA